rnacentral:rRNA from 1 species
UAUCUCUGUAGAGUCUGCAUAUCAAUAAGCGGAGGAAAAGAAACUAACAAGGAUUCCCUUAGUAACGGCGAGUGAAGCGGGAAGAGCUCAAAUUUGAAAUCUUCAAGGUUCUACCUUGACGAAUUGUAGUUUAAAGAAGUGUUUUCUGUUGGAGUUUUGGUAAAAGUUCUUUGGAAUAGGACAUCAUAGAGGGUGAGAAUCCCGUAUUUGACCAUUAUUUCCAGCUUUGUGAUACACUUUCAAAGAGUCGGAUUGUUUGGGAAUGCAGUCCAAAAUGGGUGGUAAAUUUCAUCUAAAGCUAAAUACUGGCGAGAGACCGAUAGCGAACAAGUACCGUGAGGGAAAGAUGAAAAGAACUUUGAAAAGAGAGUUAAACAGUACGUGAAAUUGUCAAAAGGGAAGCGUUUGACACCAGUGUUGUUUUCUCGAAAAUCAAUUAAAAAAAGUUGGAUUUUGUAUUGUUAAGACCUUAUCAGCUUACUGUACUCUUUUCUUGCUUUUUUUAGUGCACUUUUCGUUUAACAAGUCAACAUCAAUUUCUUUUGUUGUAAAAGAGUCAUUGGAAGGUGGCUUUCACUUCGGUGAAAGUGUUUAUAGCCUUUGGCUUCUGCAAUCGGAGAGAUUGAGGUCUGCAGCGUAGAUCCUUCGGGGCUAGAUACGUAGAUGCUAAGUUAUAGCCUUUCAUAGACAACUUGUUGACUAUGAUCAGUCAUGUAGCUUACUCGCUUAUGCUAUUUUACCUACGCUUAGGAUGUUGAAGAUGUAGCACAUCA